CUUGAGUUCCCUUGACCACUUCAUUGGGGCUAUAUACUCUACUACUCCCACUGAAGUGUUUGGGGGAACUCUGGGU
rnacentral:sRNA from 1 species